rfam:Parcubacteria group bacterium GW2011_GWA2_38_13b GWA2_OD1-rel_38_13_curated_2, whole genome shotgun sequence.
GGUUGGGCCGCAGCUAAAGACUCCUGGCGACUGUUUAUCAAAAACACAACUCUCUGCUAACUCGUAAGAGGAUGUAUAGGGGGUGACGUCUGUCCAGUGCUAGAACGUUAACGGCGCAGGUGUUGGCCGUUCCUCAUUGCGUUUGGAACGGAAAUCCUAAAUCUUAAAUCUCAAAUUCUAAAUAAAUUCGAAAUCACAAAUUCUAAAUUAUAAACACUUGUUUUGAUACUUGAAUUUUAGUGGUUGAAUAUUAUUUGGGAUUUGGCGCUUGGGAUUUGGAAUUUCCGCGACGAGCGCAGCGAGGAGCGGUUGAUGCUUAGUGCCCGAAGCGCUAGUGAACGACGGCGAUAACUAUAAUCGUCCAAAGGUAGCGAAAUACCUUGUCGGGUAAGUUCCGACGUGCAUGAAUGGCGUAACGACUGGGAGACUGUCUCAACAAAGUGCCCGGUGAAAAUGCAGUGUCAGUGAAGAUGCUGACUACCUGCGGUUAGACGGAAAGACCCCGGAAGCUUUACUAUAGCUUGAUAUUGAAUUAUUAGCGGGUUUGCUCAGAAUAGGCGGGAGGCUUUGAACUUUGACUUUCGGGUCAGGGGGAGCCGACAGUGAGAUACCGCUCUUAUUUGCUGGUAAUUCUAACCGAGCACUUAAUCUAGCCAUUAUUCGAAGACAUUGGUUAUGUUUUUAUCUUUUGUCUUUGGUUGGAUUAAGUGCUUGGGACCGUGUCUGGUGGGUAGUUUGAGUGGGGCGCUCGCCUCCUAAAAAGUAACGGAGGCGUUUACAAAGGUUGGCUAGCUCCGGAUGGAAACCGGAGUGAUAGGGUAAAGCCACAAGCCAGCUUUACUGCAAGGCGGAUAUGCCGCGCAGUUGCGAAAGCAGAACUUAGUGAACCGAUGGUCCGUACUAGAAGGGCCAGAGAUAAUCAGAUAAAAGCUACUCCGGGGAUAACAGGCUGGUCACGCCCGAGCGUCCAUAGCGACGGCGUGGUUCGGCACCUCGAUGUCGGCUCAUCUUAUCCUGGGGGUGAAGAAGCUCCCAAGGGUUUGGCUGUUCGCCAAUUAAAAAGGUACGUGAGCUGGGUUCAAACCGUCGUGAGACAGGUUCGUCCCUAUCUGCCGUAGGCGUUGAUGUUUGAGAGGAGUUCUUCCUAGUACGAGAGGACCGGAAGGAACAAACCUCUGGUGUGCCGGUUGUCCUGCCAAGGGCAGUGCCGGGUAGCUAUGUUUGGACGGGAUAAGCGCUGAAAGCAUAUAAGCGCGAAGCCCACCUCAAGAUUAGACAUCGUAGAUUGGUUGGAGACUACAACCUUGAUAGGCUGUAGGUGUAAGCGCGGUAACGCGUUAAGCCGAACAGUACUAAUAAAUCAUAGAAUAACCUAU